rnacentral:pre_miRNA from 1 species
GUACUACUCCCUCCGUUCGGAAUUACUUGUCGCGAAAAUGAAUGUAUCUAGACGUAUUUUAGUUCUAGAUACAUCCAUUUUCAAGACAAGUAAUUUCGAACGGAGGAAGUAGGAG